UUUCAGUUCGUGUUACCCGUGUUACCGGGAGAUUGUUUUAAAUCUAUUUGUUAAUUUUAUCGUUUAAAAUUAAAAUUUUGUAGUUAAAAUUGGAUAAUUUUAGACUCUAUAUAGUGGUGGUAGUGCGCUAGAGGUUGCUUCUUCUGGCCCUUCCGGCAGAUUAUGCUCUGCCUCAACGUUACAAUCUACAGACGGCCCGUAUGUGCCCCGCUUUUGAGCUCCUUCGCCGUUCUUGUACAGGUUCCACGCAAGAUACAGCAACGACGCAACUCCUUGAAGUGAUUGAAGGCAUCCCGUCGUCAUAUGACCGGAAGGAGCUGGACGGGCUGCCGACGAAGAUGACUGAAGGGAAAUCAGGAGGUUCUCCACCAGCAGGACGAGAAAAUACCUCCGGAAGCGCAUUUAUUGGCUGUCCAGUAAAUCUUGCUGGUUCAUUCUCUAAGUCCUUACCGUUGCACAGACGAGCUUGGGACGGACACAAUCAUUCUCGGGGUCGGGCGACAGCAAGGAGACAAGCUUAUAUGCGAUGCGUUACGAUAGGAAAUUCCUGAGACGGCAACAUGGGAGGCAAGAUGAAAUUCAUUCUGCAUUGGUGCGGCGUUUGACGUGACGCUUCCGAGCCGCUCGGCUAUGUUGUUUUCCACGAUUACUGUCAGUGCCCAAACGACAAUCAAAUUAUUCUGGUCCUGUUGAAGGAUGGUAUCGAUCAUUAGCUGGAGAAGUAUCCGAAGAUGCCGGGAACUCCUCUGUUAGCCCAUCCCACAAAAGGCGUACAGGAAGAGUUAGAGCGUUUCGAUGGGAUUGAUUU